rnacentral:lncRNA from 1 species
CUGGAAGGUUGUACUAGCUGUGAAAGUCAGAGGCCACCAGGCAGCUAUCGUGAGACCAAAGGCAGUAGUCAGCUCAGGCAAGCCGGUUUCCUUAUUUAUGUCAAAUUCCUCAGUCUUGGGUCUCCUUAUCUUUUAAAUAAGGAGUUAGAAUAGAAUUUGAGGGCUGUUCACUCAGGCAUCCAUGGUGGCUGCAGCAUAAGGAGUGUGUGGUGUCAGGAUGGGAAGGGCAACAUGGAGACUGCAUGGCCAUUGACGUCUGAAAGUCUCUGGUUGCCAAAAAGAAUCUAUCUACAACAGCAUUCAUCCUGACAGCAGCCAACAGGCAGCCUAGACCUGGCAUGCCACAGCUCCUCUAGGCUCUGAACCCCUCUCAGCUGAGCCUGGUAGAUGCCAGCUGACCGGCUGCAGCCCCUGAGUAGAGGUUGGCUGUCCUAGCAAUAGAGUAGGGCGGGGGCACAGCAGACAUGGGACCAUCAUCUGGAUUCCUAGACGUGCAACUGCAAGCUUAGAAGAAAUAAAGGAAAUAUCCCAGGAGCAAAAACAAAACACACACAUGCUCCUCUCAAGAGUCACUGGCAUCCCAGCUGAAAAGUCAGCUCUACACCUAUGGGACCUAUGGGCCUGUUUCUGAGCUCUGUUUUGUCUCUUUGGUCUGAGUGUCUAUCUGAGGCCAAUACCACAGUACCAAAUGCGAUUGCUUUAGAGGAAGUCUUGAAAUCAGAUGAGCCGACUAGGAUUCCUGGCACCAUCGUGAACGGCUCUGGUGGGCACAGGCAGCCCUCUGCUGCUUCUGAUCUUAGAGAAAUGAAAAUAAAGUCAGCCUCCAUAAAAUUAUGAAGAAGAAAGGCAGUAUCAUAAUGAUUAUGCAGGAACCAAGGACUGGCCUGGAAGAUGGGCCCCCAAGCUCACAGGGACACCAGCAGGCACUGCUUCUAGACAUGGAGCCUCAGUUCCAGAAUGUCCCGUGACAUGACCAGGAGUAGGGAACCAGCCCUCCCGACCUCCAUGUCUUAUUUGCCAGGCAGGGGUAACUGCAGGCUGGCCCUGACCAGGAUGACCACUGGCUCCCACUGUGGAUGCAUUUCGUGCGUGGCCUGCAUUGGACAUCGGCUCACCCAUGUGCUGGGGUGUCCAGGGUCCAGGGGAAGCUCCAGGACACAUUUGAGGAUCAGGAGAGCAACCUGCAUAGUGCAGGACUCUUGUCAGGGAGACCACGACCCGGGAGCCUUUCCUAGAAGACACAGAGUCCCCAAAAAUACCUGUGACAAGGGUCUCAUCACAGCACUGUCUGAGAGUGCUUGGAGAGAGGGAACCUGCCUGCAGCUGUUCCCAGAGCAGUGGGGCGGGGGACACUCCCCUACUGAAGAAGGCAUUUCCUUUUGGCGCCUCCAGUUCCCCCUGCCAGGACGUCAGCACCCAGGCUCUGAUGUGGGCUGCUGGGGGCCACGGCACUGCAAUGCUGCCCUGGAUUGAAUGGGGCGGGGGCUAUAGAUGUAUAAUACAAGUUGGAUUUUAGAGACUUGGUAUGUGGCAUAGAGUCUCAAAUGUCCAAAGAUGUGUCGCAUUGAUUUCAGGGUGAGUGGAUAGUUGUUCUGAUAUACUGAGUUCAGUAAAAUACAUCGGCAGCAGGAAUUUUACCGGUUACUGUUUCGUUUUUGUAAAUAUGGCUACCACAAAAU